UUGGCUCAGAACGAACGCUGGCGGCAGGCCUAACACAUGCAAGUCGAACGGUAGCAGGAAGAAGCUUGCUUCUUUGCUGACGAGUGGCGGACGGGUGAGUAAUGUCUGGGGAUCUGCCCGGUAGAGGGGGAUAACCACUGGAAACGGUGGCUAAUACCGCAUAAUCUCGCAAGAGCAAAGUGGGGGACCUUCGGGCCUCACACUACCGGAUGAACCCAGAUGGGAUUAGCUAGUUGGUGGGGUAACGGCUCACCAAGGCGACGAUCCCUAGCUGGUCUGAGAGGAUGACCA
rnacentral:rRNA from 1 species